CUCAUGCCAGCAGUGUAAAGUGAAUCCACUUUAUGGGCUGACAGUUCACUUUAAAAUGCUUGAAUGAGCUAUGAAACUGGGUCAAUAGCUUUGAUGAGUCCUUUUCUUACCGGAUGUUUGCCAACAAGAAAGGAUGGACAGAGCACAAACUGUUUUACUCUUUUGGACUGAGAGAAAACCAGAUUACCUGGAGGAAGCCCACGCAAAGUCUUUCCAAUGACAGCCUGGACAGGAAGAUAGCCCUCAUCCCUGGAAGUGGAAAGCCACAGUGCUUUUGUAAAAGCUCGGACAUCCAGAGCUGGGGAAUAUUAUCAAGCCAGACUGUGUCCUCCUCUACUCCCAGUACUAAUUCUCCCAAGGCAAGAACGCAAAGCCAGAAAAGCUGAAUGAGUCGUAAUGUCACUGUCAUUGGAAUAGGAGCAGUGUGGGAUGGAGGAUUACCAUGUUCCAUCCAAGACAGCUGUGACCUCCAUGCUCUGAACAGAAGAUUUGUUAACACUCUAAAUGAGGGGGCACCAAUAAUCUACCAGUACAUGCCAUGGGUGCAGAUGAUGGGGGGGAUGAGGACAGCACCCCCCCCCCCCCUCAGUUAUAUGGGGUCCCGGAUGCACCCCCCCACACUUUUAAGCAGAAAACAAUAAAACUUGGAUAAGUAGCGUCCCUAAAUAGGGCUGGAUACUGUGAUGUCUGUACUCAUCAAACUGUGUUGACAUCACAAAGUAUUUACAGCAUGUGCUUGCUGCAGGUAGGAGUCCUCUCACACGCGUGCGCAUUGCCGUCCCUGUACACACAGAC